CGGCGAACGGGUGAGUAACACGUGAGCAAUCUGCCCUUCUCUUUGGAAUAAGCGCGGGAAACUGCGUCUAAUGCCGAAUACGACCUCCUUACGCAUGUUCGGAGGUGGAAAGCUCCGGCGGAGAAGGAUGAGCUCGCGGCCUAUCAGCUUGUUGGUGAGGUAAUGGCUCACCAAGGCAUUGACGGGUAGCCGGCCUGAGAGGGUGACCGGCCACACUGGGACUGAGACACGGCCCAGACUCCUACGGGAGGCAGCAGUGGGGAAUAUUGGACAAUGGGCGAAAGCCUGAUCCAGCAACGCCGCGUGAGGGAUGACGGCCUUCGGGUUGUAAACCUCUUUCAGCAGGGACGAAGCGAAAGUGACGGUACCUGCAGAAGAAGGACCGGCCAACUACGUGCCAGCAGCCGCGGUAAUACGUAGGGUCCGAGCGUUGUCCGGAAUUAUUGGGCGUAAAGGGCUCGUAGGCGGUUUGUCGCGUCGGGAGUGAAAACUCAGGGCUCAACCCUGAGCGUGCUUCCGAUACGGGCAGACUAGAGGUAUGCAGGGGAGAACGGAAUUCCUGGUGUAGCGGUGGAAUGCGCAGAUAUCAGGAGGAACACCGGUGGCGAAGGCGGUUCUCUGGGCAUUACCUGACGCUGAGGAGCGAAAG
rnacentral:rRNA from 1 species